rnacentral:lncRNA from 1 species
GAAAAAUGAAUCACACUUUGCUGCUGCUUGAGGAUCUUUAAUGAACUUCACCAUAUAAACUGUCUCAUGGUUGUUCAUCACCUGCGCACUAGAGAAAUGUAAUUGGCUAAGCUAAUUGAUCAAUCAAAUCGAGAAAAGGUUAAAAAGAUAUAACAUAAAAUUAAGGCAGACAUAAUAGAAGACCCCCAAGCAUUGAUAUAAGAUCUAAGAUAAGAAUGUUCAACGCUUACACAACUGUUUAACAGAUACAUCAAGUAAUUGCGCAUAAAAAGUACAAUUAAUAAUCAUACCCAAUUCACAAAAAUAAAUCAAAAUCAUAAACACUUGAAAUAUACAUCACAAUGAAUCAUGAGUUAUGAGCAAAUAUUACUUAUCAAGUAAAAUGAAAAAAAAUGGAUAGAUAGGGAUUUUGACAUAGCAAGUGAAAUAGUGAACUACAUUCAAUUAAAAUUCCAGACAAAAAAGUGGAAAAAUAAUAGAAAAAACAAAGAAAACCAACAUCUUACACAAUUUAGCUCUUGUUGAAUAUGAUAGAUAACAUGUUAUUGGAAUUUAGAGAUGCUUACAAAGGGAUCAAAUUGAUAGCAUAGUGAGUGUAAGUCACCCAUCAAACGCUCAUGGUCCUCUCCUCACUAUAUAAAUAUAUACUAAUAUUUCUAUACACAACGAAUGGCAACCAAUGGGGUAAUAGAAAGAAAAAAUGAAAAAAAUUAUUUUUUCCACUUUGACAUGACUUUGUGAGAAUGGCAACCAAUGAGUAAUAGAAUAUCAUCUGCUCACCAAAUGUAGCAUUCUAUUAAUUCUUAAGUAAUUCCAACUUCCAAAUAAGAAAACUUCCUAGACUUAGCCAAUUUACAAUUAAGGAAUUUGAUAUUAAAUCAGUAAAUUAGUUACUAAAACUUGUGACAGGGUGGCCAAUCUUAUGCUAAUUAACCAUAUAAUACAAUGCAGACAUGAUAUGCAAUUAACAUAUGCAUCUUCUAUGGAAGAGGUUUACUCAUUACAAAGAGAUAUGUUUCAAAUUAAGAGGAAGAAUUUCUACUUCAUGGACUGUGUAGGGAGGGCUAUAAGGCCGCAACAAAAAUAUAAUUUCAAAAAAGAUACUACAUCUACAAUAAGCAAGUCUUUGAACAAGAUUUCCUAAAGCAUCAAUAUUGAACUUGAGUUCUGUCUUUCACAAAAUGACCUACGCACAUUACAUAUGAGGAAGAAGAGGCCAUAGCAAUAACAAUAUAAAAAAGAAGGUACUACCAAUGUUGAUAGCAAUCCAGAACUCCUCUGUCAACGACAAUAUCCAUGCGAUGCGUAUGCCACAUCUUUCAGCCUCGAAAUUUGAAUAAUCAUGUGCCAUAUAAUUCUGAGUAUCAUAUACAACGUCUAUGCAAUAGCUAUUAUAAAUCAAAAGUAACCAACCAAAACUAGUUAUUUGAUUAUAUAAAAAUUGCCUAUGGCUAUCCAUCCGUCAG